AUUUCUUAGCCUUUUGGUUAAGAUCAAGUAUAAUAUCUGUUCUGAUCAGUUUGCCAAGAUUUUUUAACUGGAAUUUGAUUUGACAUAGAUUUUUUCCCCUCCAUCUGUU
rnacentral:snRNA from 1 species